rnacentral:lncRNA from 1 species
UUUUCCUCCUGUUAAUACGGAGUUUCUUUACAAGAAAGUAAACAGCUGGCUGAUUGUUGUCCAGUGUUUGCUCACUGCCAAAAAUGUAAAUUCUAUAACUGUCUUGGUACCUGGGUUGCUGCCAAAUUGUCCCAGAGUAUAGAAGAAGAAGCUUGCCGCUCAUCCGACACUAAAACUGCCCACCUUACUAAUUGGAUGAUAUCGGCGGGCUGGCUCAAACUAACAGAAGGUUAAAUGCUAAAUAAACAGCAUAUAAACUUGGUAUAUAAAAGCAACUGUGUUCUGACGUUCCGGCCGGAACGUUCUUCCUGUCUCCGUCCCCGUCAUCACUAUUGAAAAAUACAGAGAAGAAGAUGAUCACCUUGAGCAGUCCCACCCGCCCUCUCAGCCACACCUCGGCACCGCCCUGAGAGCUCACUGUAACACCCCUCCGCUGCAGCAGGCCGGAAACCACACCCCCGCCACAUAGAUCAUAUCACUACUGUGAGAUAAAAGUGAAAGAGCAGCUCACAGAUCAGUGGGAAGUCACAUCAGGAGAACAUUAAGUAUUUGUAGCGUGUGAUUCCCUUGUGUUUUCAGUCUGUGAAACAGCUGUUUGUCCCUUCACCAGGCAGGUAAGAUCAGCAAAACUGCACCAUAGGAUGGUUUAUACCUAAGAUUUCAAACAAAAAAUAUAUUAUUAACAUAACAAGAGGAAACAUAGAUUUGAUUCUUUAUUUAUUCAUUUCUUUUAUUUUCUUUCAUUUUCUCUUAAGCUCAAAGGCUGUUUUUAUUUCCACAGUGAUGGCAGCAGCAGCGUUCAGGAGCAGAGGACUGGCUGGUGUCAGAAACACCAACGUUUUAAUCCUCAUCUUUCUGCUGUCCCUGGUUUAUGUCACAAAUUCACUGAUGAAAGCACAAUACAAGAAGAAAGAAGCAAGUGAACUUGAUGAAAAACUACAGUUUCUUCAAUCUUUGGAAGAACUAAUACGGACAUCGUCAUUUUUUGAGGAUUUUCCUGCAAUGAUGGACGUAGUAAAUAGUUUGAGACGCUUCUACAAGAGAACCAUCAUCCCAUCACACAGAGAGGAAGAAGAAAAAUGGUGAAAAAAAAAGAGGAAAACAUGAAAAUCAUCCUAAAACUCAACCAGAUAAACUUUAAAAGUUUCUAUAUAAUAAAUAAUAAUACAAAAUAAAUCAUAAAAUAAUGAUAAAUCUCAUCAUUAAAUAUGAUGGUUUUCUGUAAGAGAAAUGACAGCUGUAUGUUGUUUAUGCUGUUCUCACUGGGAAGCAGCUUUUAUUGCAUUUUGCAUAAUAGACUGAUAAUCGUGGUGUUAUUAAACUCAAACUUAGAAAAAAGGAGUUUCUACUAACUUUUUGAUAAAAAACAAAAAAGAAACUUGUAUUCACAUAUUGUUAUCUUAAUGUGUUCCCUUUUAUUUGUGUCUUUUUGGUUAAUAUAGAUCUUCUAUUUAACUUUGAAUACUCAACAACAACAAUGAAGGCUAGCCCUGAAUACUUGUUCUAUAUUAAAUAAAUUAUAUCACACUGACUGCUCUGUGUGUGCUUUUCUUUUUUUUUUACUCUUUUUUACUCUUUCUACAUCUU